rnacentral:rRNA from 1 species
AGCGAACGCUGGCGGCAGGCUUAACACAUGCAAGUCGAGCGGGCAUAGCAAUAUGUCAGCGGCAGACGGGUGAGUAACGCGUGGGAACGUACCUAUUGGUUCGGAACAACACAGGGAAACUUGUGCUAAUACCGGAUAAGCCCUUACGGGGAAAGAUUUAUCGCCGAAAGAUCGGCCCGCGUCUGAUUAGCUAGUUGGUGAGGUAAUGGCUCACCAAGGCGACGAUCAGUAGCUGGUAUGAGAGGAUGAUCAGCCACAUUGGGACUGAGACACGGCCCAAACUCCUACGGGAGGCAGCAGUGGGGAAUAUUGGACAAUGGGCGCAAGCCUGAUCCAGCCAUGCCGCGUGAGUGAUGAAGGCCCUAGGGUUGUAGAGCUCUUUUGUGCGGGAAGAUAAUGACGGUACCGCAAGAAUAAGCCCCGGCUAACUUCGUGCCAGCCGCCGCGGUAA